AAAAAUCCCUAGAUAAAGAACCCCAAUGGGUUAACAAGUUUAGCUAAUCAUGUUCGUUAUAAAAACCCACAAGAAUUCAAUUACAAGAAUGAGUAAAGGUAGAGAAACCCGAAUACACCCUUGGAUGAGAGUAAACGGCUCCAAUUCCUCUUGCCCAAUCUUGAAUUGAUUCUUGUUCCUCUUGCUCGAAUUGAAACCAAUUAAUGAA
rnacentral:lncRNA from 1 species